rnacentral:lncRNA from 1 species
GUCCAUUUGUCUCCCUCCCUCAUUUCUUCCUUCAUCACCAAAACCACAACCUAUUCCCCCACCGCCGCCCUCACCCGUUAAUCACCUCAUAUUCGCCAACCCACGUCCAAUACUAGGCUUACCAUCGCCUCCCCACCCGCCUAUUUUUAGACGAGGUUGGGGUAAGGUCUAUUUUCCAAUGAGGCAUAUUUACCCAGUUAAUGACGUUGUUGCAGACGAGCCCUAGUGACACCAUUAGCUUUGUGGACCAGAUCGAGUCCACCCCUAAAUCCUAGAUUCACUCAAAAUCGAUUCCUAGUAGUAGACCAGGCAUUCGUGUCGUAUUUUUUGUGUUCAUGUUGUUUUUGCGUCAUACCCAAUAUCUUAACAGGUUGUGUCGUGUAAUAUCCGUUAAAAUGAACAGGUGAUGUGACCCGACCCGAACUCCCCUGUUAAUAUGAACGUGUAAUAUGACCUGACCCGUUACAUGUUAAAGAAAAUGUAUUUAAAUCAAUAAUUAAUCAAAUGAGAAAUAUUAUACUAAAUUAGUAUAUACAUACCAUAUUGUCACAUAAGUAUUACUCCAAAACAUAAAAAUACAUUUGUCUUUCAAGUAUCACAUAAAUAUUAAUUCAUGUAGAAGUGUGAAAAAUAUAAAAAAAAUAUAAAAAAAUAUAUGUUGAUGCACAAGACCGGAGGUCUUGGAACAACGUAAAUCCGACCGUGAAUCUGCAUGAAAUGUAAAUAACACAAGAUGUAUUGUGGUUCACCCCAAGGUUUGGGCUACGUCCACACUGAUUGUAUUGUAUUUCUCUAAGAAGUGAGGGAGAGAGAGAGCUUUGAGAGUGAGAGCGUUAAGAGGGUGAGGAGCCUUAGGAAUUGACAUCCUCUAAUUGUGAGGGUGAGGGGUCCUUUUAUAGAAUAAGGACUCCUCACUUAUUACAUAUUUUCCCCUUCCUUUAUCACAUAAUUACAUUUAAGUCCCCCGAGUAUUUGUACGAAAUCUAAAUACGAUGCCCUAAAUAUGGUAUAAACAGUAGUCCCCCAAGUCUUCAGUCAAGAGAGUCUUUUGGCUGGAGACCUGAAAUUCAGUCCAUGUGUGGGCCGAAGUAACUAGAUGUUGUCUUGAACUGAUGUUCGAUAUGAUGCAGUGCUCAAUCUGAAAUGAUGCUCCACUAGAAGUAGCACACGCUGCGAGGCUACUCGGCUCGUGGCUUAUGUUGCCUUGGUUGGCUCGGCUUGUGGCGUUUGAAGGUGAGGGAGUCCCUUUUAUAAAAUAAGGGCUCGCUCCUCAAUACAUGAAUGAUGGGCUAGAGUUGAUGCUUUCUAAUGGUGGUGAGGGAGUCCCUUUUAUAGAAUAAGGGCUCGCUCCUCAGUACAUAGAUAAUGGGCUAAGUCCCCCAAGUAUUUUCAUGAGGCCUAGUUGAGGCCCAAUAUAUGGUACAUAAUGUAGUCCCCCAAGUCUUCGGUCAAUAGAGUCUAUUGGUCGGAGACUUCAAAUUGAAUCCAUGUAUGGGCCGAAAUGACGGUUGUUCGGAUGCGGUAUUUGUAUACCCUGCACUGAAGCUUUGUAGGUGAAGCUUUGCAAGUGAAGCUUUGAAGCUAAAGCUCUGUAAAUGAAGCUUUCGCAGCUGGAGCUCUGUAAAUGAAGCUUUUGAAGCUAGAGCUUUUGUAAAUGAAGCUUUUGAAGCUGAUUAACAUGAGUGAUGCUCAUGAAUGUUUAUGUUGAUUGACAUGAGUGAUGCUCAUGAAUGUUUAUGUAUGAUUUGAUUAGUGAUGCUCAUAAAUGUUUAUGUAUGAUUGACAUGAGUAAUGCUCGCGAAUGUUUAUGUAUGAUUGACAUGAGUAAUGCUCAUGUAUGAUUUGAAGUACUGUGCAUACUUUUGAUCACCUGGUUGGUGGCAUGAAGGAGAGUACAGGUUGUACAUUUCAUCACCUGGUUGGUGGCAUGAAUGGCUAGUUGCCAAAUGAUAUUAGAGUAUGGGUUGUACAUUUCAUCACCUGGUUGGUGGUAAUAGCGGCAGGUUGCCGAAUAAUUUUUGGAGUAUUGGGCAUACUUUUGGUCACCUGAUUGGUGAUAAUAGCAGCGGGUUGCAGAAUAAUUUUGGAAGUAAUGGGCGUACUUUUGAUCGCCUAGUUGGUGGUAAUAGUGGCAGGUUGUCGAAUAAUUUAUGGAGUAUUGGGUGUACUUUUGAUCGCCUGGCUGAAGCUAUUUUGGGCUUAUGGGCCUUCGCCCUCUCUAACAUCCCAGCCCAUUUGUUUUGGGCUUUGCCCUUUUUUUUUGUUUUUUUUACC